rnacentral:lncRNA from 1 species
AUGGCAGAGCGAGGCUGGAUUCAGAAAACCGGAGGUAGAGGGGGAGGCGGGAAGGAAGCCAGCGUGUCUGCAAUAAUGGCAUCAUGGUUUCUAAGACAGAAGGGCGUCAGAGGGGCGGCUGUGCGACCUUCAGAGCCACUGAGGUUGUCUUCGUGCAGACGCGAAGAGAGGCCAUCGCUCAUCCGGCAGACUUGCAGACCUCAAGACAGUCAAGGCAGGAAGAAGGCGGAAACUCUUGCACGGCGUGGGGAGGGCGAUGCAGGUACUCUGCUGGUUUGUUGGCAAGUUCACGUGAGCUUUGUGGAAGCAAUGUGAGACUGUCUCGAGACCCUUUAAAGAGUUCAUUCUCUUUGUUUUUCUGAGGGGUUGACUCGUGUCCGUCAGAGACAUGCGUCCAGGCCCUGAGCCCUGGUCCCCACGACCGCGAGCUUCUCUAGGAACAAGCACUCUGCAGAUGUUAAGGUGGCGUAGGCCCGCCCUUGAUCCAAUACCGUUCGUGUCCUUGUAAGGAGAGGCGACACGCAGACAGACACGGGAAGGACACUCCGUAGUGACAGGCACGGGGUUAGGGUAAACUGAGAGACACCAGGGACUGCAGGGGAUACCAGACGCUAACGGGCAGGAGACCGAUUUUCUCCUGGAGCCUUUGGAGGGAGCUGCUCCCUGUUGGCGCCUGGACUGCAGACUUCUGGCCUCUGCGGCCGUGAGACGACAAAGCCCUGUUGUUUUACGCCCUCCUGGUGUGGCCCUUUGUUACGACAGCCCCAGGAAACCAGCACAGCCUUUCUUUGGCUUUCAUUUCCAGGUCGGAAUCUGACAGCGCCUUACUUGGCAAGUUUCUUCCCAUGGCCUCCUGGCACAUGGACCACAUCUCCCAGUGUCCCUUGCGGUCUGCCAUGGCACGUGACUGAUUUUGGCCAGUGGGAUGCAGUCAGAAGGGACGCCCCCAGGCCUGGCCAGUAGCAACCUGGGCUCCCCUCUCGGUCAGUCCUCUGCCUGGGAGCAGACACCAAGCCUAGGACCCCGAGUCCUACCAGACAGACAGAGUCUGUGCCCCCGGGUCAUCCUAAACACCUGUACGGAGCUCCCUGUUGUGUGGGUGAGCACUGGCCUUCUGCUGAGACUGGAGGGGUCAGCAUUUAGCCCAGCUUGACUAGGAGAAGGAGGGAAUCAGAGAUGGAUGAAAGCCAAGAUUCAGAGGCCAGGAUGCUCCUACGCCCAAUUUUACUCGCUUCCGGCUUCAAAAUAAAGUCACUUUUCUUUUCCUAUUAGGUCUGCGU